UACGAAGGGGGCUAGCGUUGUUCGGAAUUACUGGGCGUAAAGCGCACGUAGGCGGGUCGUUAAGUCAGGGGUGAAAUCCCAGAGCUCAACUCUGGAACUGCCUUUGAUACUGGCGACCUAGAGUCCGGAAGAGGAGAGUGGAAUUCCUGGUGUAGCGGUGAAAUGCGCAGAUAUCAGGAAGAACACCCGUGGCGAAGGCGGCUCUCUGGGACGGUACUGACGCUGAGACGCGAAAGCGUGGGGAGCGAACAGG
rnacentral:rRNA from 1 species